rnacentral:rRNA from 1 species
GAUCUGGCUCAGGAUGAACGCUAGCGACAGGCUUAACACAUGCAAGUCGAGGGGCAGCACAGGGUAGCAAUACUUGGGUGGCGACCGGCGCACGGGUGAGUAACGCGUAUGCAACUUACCUAUCAGGGGGGGAUAGCCCGGCGAAAGUCGGAUUAAUACCCCAUGAAACAGGGGUCCCGCAUGGGAAUAUUUGUUAAAGAUUCAUGCUGAUAGAUAGGCAUGCGUUCCAUUAGGCAGUUGGG